UUAAACAUAUAAUAUUGUAUUAAUGCACUGUAAACCCGAACAGUGUUAUUUAUUUGAAAAACAAAGUACUCUUUAUUCAAAAUGUGUUAAAUAGUUCCACAAACUUAAGUUUUAAAGUCUUCUUAACCUCUAACAAGGAUUUAAGUUAGCAGAAAUUGUAUUUUUAAUUUGUUUAAACUAAAAUUAAGGUUUUGAGUUAACUUUAGGUAACAGAUUCAGUAAUAAUUAUAUUUUUCAAUUUGUAACAAACGCCCUCUAGUGGCGGGUUUUCCUCAUUAGUGACGUCAUAAACAAACGUUUAGAACCCGCAUUUUCCACCAUUAAGGUGUGUCCUCGCUUCUCUUCUCACCGACUGGAUUCAAAAGUAAGUUAUUUCAUGUUUAUUCAGAACUUGUGUUGUUAUUUUUUUAAAUAUGUGAAAUUACACACAUUAAAUUAUCCAUAUACUGUAUGUGUUAAUGUUUCAUAAAUAUCCCAAACAAGUACUUGUUGUGACUGGCUGGUUUAGGUGAUCGAACUAUUUAUUGCAUAUACAGUUUACAGAGUUUAACUUCAGUUUAAUGACGAUAUUUGAGAAUAUUGAUGGUAAAAAGUACCGCAACAGUUAUCCAAAGAGCAUUUUUGUUGGUUCACAGGAUGGUAUUUUCAUUAACUGACACAGUGUGGGAAUAAACAGCUCUUUUGGGAUCGAUGGUUUUGGGGUAAAAAAAAAAUCACAUUUAGAAACAUUUUAUUAUUGAGAAUUUUUGUUUAGUAAAGUAAGUGAUUUUUUUUUUUUUUUUUUUUUGUGAUUUUAUUAAGUUUUAAUUAGUUGCUGUUGUGUAAAUGAACUGCUAACUUAUGUUAUUUUUUUUUCACAUUUUCUUAAGAAUAUUGAGAGCUCAGAGCACUUGACUGGACUUGUUUCCCGCCCAAAAUUUAAAGUGGAAGAAGUAGUUUGCCAUUCACAUGGUACAAGUUCCCGAGGUCUAUACUGUUUCAGCACAUUACAAACCAGAAUCUUCCAAACACGUUCUAUGUAGAACUUGACCGCCACAGUUUUCACCUGAUGACUUUAUAUCGUCAGAAGGCAUCAAAGACAGGAAAGACUUCUGAUGCACUUGCUGACAUUCUCAGGAUUCAUGACUUGAAGGAUCAACAUGAUAUUCGUAAAAGGGAAAUCACUGUGCUUUGUGCAUUUCUGAGAGAAGACACCUCAAGAUUCUUCAAAACAUGCAUACUGUUGCCCUGUUAGCAGCCAUCAGAGAACUCACAGAUCCUGCAAUUCACUACAAUCUGGUCAGAAUUUCUGUUGUUCUCAAAAAAUGAAGUCAUUACCUACCUGCCCAGGCUUUCGGAUGGCAUUCGGAACUUUUGGACUGAUCUUUGCAUUGGAUUCGAGUUACCCAAAAGAGAUGGCCAACCUUUUUCAAUUUCACUUGUUAUGUGAAAUUACACAAAGAGACUGGACAGCUUCUUUUGUAGCAGUUGCUGUAUCCAAUUAAGUGUAGUACACUUUUGAAAUCUUAAAUUAGAAGCUGCUAGAGUUUCUAAGUCAUUUUCAGAGUUCAAAGAAAUAUUCUGGAUUCAAUACAAAUGAAGUUCAAUUGAUAGCAUUUGUUGCAUAAUGCUGAUUACCACAAAAACAUAAUUUCAAUAUUUUUUUUUAAUAAAAAAGGAGGGACAAAUAUAAUUUUUUUUUGUGGUAAUCAACAUUAUGCUAUUAAUGCUGGCAAGCAUAACUUGUAUUGAACCCGGAAUAUUCCUUUAAAGUGUAAAAGACAUGUUUUAAAAUGGUUAAAGUUAAAGGAGGUGCAAUAUCAGUUCAGCUGUAGACAGUUUAUCUUAGUUAACUAUACUGCUGCUAAGUUUGUGUUUUUCUGUUUAUGACUUGUCUCUUGUCAGCAUGCUUUCAUGUUAUUCUUUAGAUAUAUGAAUGAGCUGGUUGCUUGUCUGUCAAAUGUCUUAAAUGUUCAUGUUGUGCCUCAUGUUUUAUCAAUAUUGUACUCCUUGUCUUUUUGCAUUAAAUUUUCAGGAUAUGUUUACUGUAUGUAGUUUGCUUUUUUUGUUGUAAAAUUAUUAUAAGUUGUAAUCAGUUGCCACAAAAUUAAGUAACAUUACUUCAGCCUUUAAAGUUAAAGAAAAAUGACUUUAAAUAAUUAACUUAAUACAGAGUAUAUUCAUGAUUUUAAAACGUAAUUUUUUAAAGUUAAGUAUUUCAGUUAAGUUUGCAGUACUUUAAACUUAAUACAUUUGUAAACACAUAUUUUGAUUAGAGUAAAAUCAAAAUGUUAAAUUUAUAGUCCUUCAGAAAAACAAGUUAUCCAUGCUUUAGUCUUAUACAUUUUGAAACUUAAAGUAGAGGCAAUCAAUUUUUGAGUUAGUAGAACUUAUCCGGGUUUACAGUGUGCAAAUAUCCAUCAAGCUUUGUUAUUGCUCAGAUAACUUUUCUUUGGAUAAUACUAACAGUAUAUUUGUGACUGCACUUUAUACUUUGUGUUAGUAAUGCACUUUUGCUCUCACAGGAUGUGUUCAACUCAUUCUUUGCAGCAGCAUGGAUGUUUAUUCUCAGUAUAGUAGCAGUUUCUACAUAUACAGUAAAGGGCACUCUGAGCGGAGGGAUUGUGGGCUUUGUGGCUGCAGCCUUGUGGUGCUUGGAUGGCUAUAUGCUUUU